GACGAACGCUGGCGGCGUGCUUAACACAUGCAAGUCGAACGGAAAGGCCCUGCUUGCAGGGUACUCGAGUGGCGAACGGGUGAGUAACACGUGGGUGAUCUGCCCUGCACUUCGGGAUAAGCCUGGGAAACUGGGUCUAAUACCGGAUAGGAGCCAUUUUUAGUGUGAUGGUUGGAAAGUUUUUUCGGUGUAGGAUGAGCUCGCGGCCUAUCAGCUUGUUGGUGGGGUAAUGGCCUACCAAGGCGGCGACGGGUAGCCGGCCUGAGAGGGUGGACGGCCAAAUUGGGACUGAGAUACGGCCCAGACUCCUACGGGAGGCAGCAGUGGGGAAUAUUGCACAAUGGGCGCAAGCCUGAUGCAGCGACGCCGCGUGGGGGAUGACGGCCUUCGGGUUGUAAACUCCUUUCGCUAGGGACGAAGCGUUUUGUGACGGUACCUAGAUAAGAAGCACCGGCUAACUACGUG
rnacentral:rRNA from 1 species